rnacentral:misc_RNA from 1 species
GAUGAAGAACGCAGCGAAAUGCGAUAAGUAAUGUGAAUUGCAGAAUUCAGUGAAUCAUCGAAUCUUUGAACGCACCUUGCACCCUUUGGCAUUCCGAAGGGUAUGCUCGUUUGAGUGUCAUUGUACUCUCACACUCUCCGAUCCUAUGGAUUCGGGGAGCGGUGGACUUGGGUGUUGCUGCCUUUCCUUGUGGCUCACCUCAAAUGUGUCAGUGCACCUCUUGGUUGGACAUAGUACGGCGUGAUAAGUGUCUUCGCCGGCACCUCGCAAGAGGGUGGCCGAUCGGGAGCUCUGUGCUUUCAAACCGUCUUCGGACAAUUUCUGACAACUUGACCUCAAAUCGAGUAGGACUACCCGCUGAACUUAAGCAUAUCAUAAGCGGGGA